rnacentral:rRNA from 1 species
UACGGGGGGAGCAAGCGUUGUUCGGAUUUACUGGGCGUAAAGGGCGCGUAGGCGGCGCAACAAGUCACUUGUGAAAUCUCCGGGCUUAACCCGGAGCGGUCAAGUGAUACUGUCGUGCUAGAGUGCGGAAGGGGCUACUGGAAUUCUCGGUGUAGCGGUGAAAUGCGUAGAUAUCGAGAGGAACACCUGCGGCGAAGGCGGCGCUCUGGGCUGGAACUGACGCUGAGGAGCGAAAAGCGUGGGGAGGCAAACAGG